CAGGAUGUUGACCUUAGCCACACCAAUGUCAUAGAGCUUCUUCACAGCCUGUUUGACCUGGUGCUUGUUGAAAUCAGAAGAGCGU